rnacentral:misc_RNA from 1 species
GCAAACUUGGUCAUUUAGAGGAAGUAAAAGUCGUAACAAGGUUUCCGUAGGUGAACCUGCGGAAGGAUCAUUACAGAAAUAGUCUUAGAGAAGUGGCUUGUAUGCUUGGGAAACCAAGUGUACAACACUUUGAUAAUUCUAACUCUAUCAUUAUCCCCCCCUUAUAUUGACUAUGUGAACUUUGACACGAGUUUGAAAGUAAGUACCCCUAUCUUUGAGAUAGGGGCUCUGAACACUCGUGCUCUUUUUUCUAUACCACUUUACACCAUAAUGUUAUAUGAUGUUGGGCAAUAUAAUAAGCAAUGAAAGAAUAACUUUCAGCAAUGGAUCUCUUGGCUCUCGCAUCGAUGAAGAACGCAGC